rfam:Lupinus angustifolius cultivar Tanjil contig_12124, whole genome shotgun sequence.
CAUCCCCAUGAUGAUUUUUUUGUUAAUAUUAAAGUAGUGGACUGAAUCUUCUUGUGGAGAAACAAAAUCUGAGGGAUG